GGGGAAACAAGGACGAAGCGGAAUAUGAAGACUGCAUCUCAGUUGGAGCCUCUGGAGAGGACUUAUGCUGUGGAGACGUAUCCAUCGGAAGCUAUGUGCGCUGAGCUAUCGGAGAAGCUGGGCUUGACGGAUCAGCAGUUACAGAUGUGGUUUUGUCACCGGAGAUUAAAGGAUAGGAAGCCUACGACGGCGAAGCGGCAGAGGAAGAACUGUUGAAGAGUAGUUUUGAAGGAGCUUCACUGUCUCUGCUUAUUCGUAUUUACUUUGAAAGUCAAAAGAGUAAUUUUGAUUUCUAAAUUAACUAUGUUAGACUUUAGGGGUACGGUUGAUAUUUUCGACACUUUGGGGUUGUAUCUCAGAUAAAGUUUGAAAACAAGGGUGGUAUAAGAUAAUUUUCCAAAUAUCAAUGACAUAAUCCAUUUAGUAGGGUAAUGCUCAAUAGGGAAGCAUGAAUCCUCAAAUGAGAAUAUGACAUCUAAGAUAAACUAGUAUUUGAAUUAAUAGAACAUCUUCAGAUUCA